rnacentral:rRNA from 1 species
UCUACGGGAGGCAGCAGUGAGGAAUAUUGGUCAAUGGGCGCGAGCCUGAACCAGCCAAGUAGCGUGAAGGAUGACUGCCCUACGGGUUGUAAACUUCUUUUAUAAAGGAAUAAAGUGAGGCACGUGUGCCUUUUUGUAUGUACUUUAUGAAUAAGGAUCGGCUAACUCCGUGCCAGCAGCCGCGGUAAUACGGAGGAUCCGAGCGUUAUCCGGAUUUAUUGGGUUUAAAGGGAGCGUAGAUGGGUUGUUAAGUCAGUUGUGAAAGUUUGCGGCUCAACCGUAAAAUUGCAAUUGAUACUGGCAGUCUUGAGUACAGUUGAGGUAGGCGGAAUUCGUGGUGUAGCGGUGAAAUGCUUAGAUAUCACGAAGAACUCCGAUUGCGAAGGCAGCGUACCGGCGCCAGACUGACGCUGAGGCACGAAAGCGUGGGGAUCGAACAGGAUUAGAUACCCUGGUAGUC